CCUACGGGAGGCAGCAGUGGGGAAUAUUGGGCAAUGGGCGCAAGCCUGACCCAGCAACGCCGCGUGAAGGAAGAAGGCUCUCGGGUUGUAAACUUUUUUUUUUAGGGACGUAGCAAGUGACGGUACUUGCUGUAUAAGCCACGGCUAACUACGUGCCAGCAGCCGCGGCAAUACGUAGGUGGCAAGCGUUAUCCGGAUUGACUGGGUGUAAAGGGAGUGUAGGCGGGACUGCAAGUCAGAUGUGAAAACCACGGGCUCAACCUGUUGACUGCAUUUGAAACUGGAGGUCUUGAGUACAGGAGAGGCAGGCGGAAUUCCUAGUGUAGCGGUGAAAUGCUUAGAUAUCAGGAGGAACACCGGUGGCGAAGGCGGUCUGCUAGACAGCAACUGACACUGAGGCGCGAAAGCGUGGGGAGCAAACAGGAUUAGAUACCCGUGUAGUC
rnacentral:rRNA from 1 species